GUCGGGAAGAUCCUCUGGAGGAGGGCCUGGCAACCCACUCCAGUAUGCUUGCUGAGAAAAUCCCAUGAACGGAGGAGCCUGGUGGGCUGCAGUCCGUGGGGUCGCAGAGUCAGACACAACUGAAGUGCCGGAGCUCCAGAGACUAGCAGGGCAAGGUUUCUGAGACCCAUCGGAUCUGGAAGUCAUUCAUGUUUCAACCUCCACCACUUUGCAUAUCAUAUUUGCUCAUUUUAAAGACUGUGGUUUGGACACCAAACAGCUGAAACUGGAAAUAAUUAAACCAAGGAACUCAGCCUCCCUUGUCCGUACCAGCAGGAGUGGCAUCGGCCAGGAUAAACUAAAACCCAGCCAGGCUGAAGUAGGUAUAAACAAAGAAAAUAUUGAGAAAGGAGAAGAGUGGAAUGUUGGCUUCUUUCAGAUUGGAAGAAUAGAACAAAAUAUCAGCUACAAAUGUGUCCUGUGGCCUGAGGCAUUGAAGCACCGCAGAGCCCCGCAAUAAUUUCCUGACAGAUCAGACAACCCACUUAUUCCAUGUCCCGGUUGUCCCAGUGACCUAGAUCAUUGUCAACAACAAAGGUGCUUUAGCUUUCAGUUUAAAAUAUCUGCUGGGUUUGCAAACUCAGAUUCACUUUGCCAUUUAGCUGAAAAUGCAUUUUAGGGUGCUGGAGUUUGCUUUCAUUCAUUCAUCCGCGCUUACUUAGUUCUCAGUGCAGAAGAAAGAGUGCCACCUACUGGAUGUGGGAUAGGAGGAGAAUAUG
rnacentral:lncRNA from 1 species